CUCGGGCAGAACCUGCGCCGAAUGGCAGAGCCCGCUUCCUGCGCCAGCUGCCAGCCCCGGAGUCCAAGAAUCGAGAGGUUCUCCAGGAGAAAAGUCACCCCAAUGGAAUGAAAAUUUCCUGUCUAUUUUGCCAUGAAAUAACUCCCUCCCGCCGGGUGCCCACGGGUUGUUAAGGUGAGGAAAGGGAGGACCCCAGAAUGCCCACAAGCCUGAAACAACACACAGGAUGCAGUCAGAGUGGUUUCCCUAUGAACGGUAAAGGAUCUAUUUCAAGACCUGGGGUCGCCACCCGAAACGCCUCUCCUGCAGCUCAUCUUGUUUGACUCCAGUUUUCCCUGGAAGCAGAAGCCAGUAUAGACUCAUUUCUAACACAAGACCCACCCAGGAAGAGCCUGCACAACCAAUCGCUUCACAUUCAAAAGGGAGAUGUGAUAGCAAAUACCCAAGCUGUGGACACGGGCAUGCUUAGGCUGGGUGAGCUGGGUGACCUCGCUGGAAAUCUCACUGGGGGAGACACAGUGUCUCUGUCAUGUCCCUCAGGAGACACCGUGCUAAUGGCUGGAGAAGCAGGAACCAAGAAUCCUCCCACACCCACACCUGAGGCCUGGCUGCCUCUGCUUUACUUACCUCAGCCCAAUCCCCAGGGGGGCCAGGAGGUGACAGCUGCCCCUAGAACUGGGCCCCAAAGGAAAGCCAGCUCUUCCCACCCCAGCUCCUCAGGCGGGACGUGGAGGAGAGGAGAGCUGAUGUCACUUUCCCAAAGUCCAAGCUUCCCACCAGCAGGAGAAAGGUGACUGGCAAAUGUCUAUUCCCUCACCAUCCCUACCCCCCCACCCCCCUUUUCUGACCUCCUGGCCGAUUUUGCUAAGCACUGGCAACUGUCAGGACUAACCUGUCCUCAGCUCCACCCCGGAAAUGCCCAACCCAGUUCUCGAAAGCAUCCUUCAGCUGGCGGAACCCCUGCAGGUACCCGUGGCCCCAGCAUCUUAACUGGAGCUGUCCGGGUAUCUUCCUACCGCACACCCACCUCUUGUCUAUCCGUUCACACCUGCACACACACUCAAACUGGAAAUGUGAACUCUGGCAGCCCUCCUCCACGCUGGCCCCCCAGUUCUAAAGCUCCGUGAAAGCAAAUUAUAAAUGAGAACAAGCUGUCAGGCCUGGGAGGGUCCCAUCUUUCAGGCGUAAUCCUACUUCUUAUGUUUGGUCCUGAAUCCCCUAGGCCUCUCUGUGCGUACGUGUGCACCUAUGACUUUUUUUGUGUGUGUGUCUGGGACAAAGGGUAGGCUCUGCCUCCCUGCCCAUCACUCCAUCCCUGUCCUCUGCACAAGCCCCUCAAUCCUCCCCAUGAAAGGAAGGGGAAUUCUCAUCCAAGCCCAGAGAGGGAAGCUCUCUCAGAUACUCCGGGCAGCUUCAGCAGAUAAAGUUUUGCCAAGUAUCCAGGGGAGGGGAGGACAGCAAACCAGUUUGACAGGCUGGCUGGUCCCACCCACCUCCACUUAAGAUAUUAACAUUAGAGAGGCCAGAGGCCUGAAAUGAAGAGAGGGAAUAAACACGUGCGGAACUUUUAGAACCACGCGGGGAUGCCUUCCCUGAGUCCACCCCACUCUUCAACAUGAACUCACAGGGAAAGCGCUUUGCAGCUCACCACCCCUAAGGAGGGGAAAAGAGGCAAGGAAGAUAGUUUUCCCCUCCUGUACAGCAGCUCGCUCUUCGCCUUAUUGUUCCUGCUUAAGAUGUUACCCUUGAAUGAGGGAAACUGCCCGAUAAAGCUGUUUUUAUGUUUUUCUUUCUGUAUCUUUGGCUGCAUAUUAAUAGAUAACUAUAAAUAAAACAGCCCGAGCCUCAAAUACAGAAGAAACUACACAGUAGCAGAGUGUACCAUUUUUAGCGCUCUUCACUUCGGUCUUUCUCAACUUUUGCGUAAUAAAACUUGCAGCUUUGCCAAGACAAUAAA